UGGGGAAUAUUGCACAAUGGGGGAAACCCUGAUGCAGCGACGCCGCGUGAACGAAGAAGGUAUUCGUAUCGUAAAGUUCUGUCCUAUGGGAAGAUAAUGACAGUACCAUAGAAGAAAGCUCCGGCUAAAUACGUGCCAGCAGCCGCGGUAAUACGUAUGGAGCGAGCGUUGUCCGGAAUUAUUGGGCGUAAAGGGUACGCAGGCGGUUUAAUAAGUCGAAUGUUAAAGAUCGGGGCUCAACCCCGCAAAGCAUUGGAAACUGAUAAACUUGAGUAGUGGAGAGGAAAGUGGAAUUCCUAGUGUAGUGGUGAAAUACGUAGAUAUUAGGAGGAAUACCAGUAGCGAAGGCGACUUUCUGGACACAAACUGACGCUGAGGUACGAACGCGUGGGGAGCAAACAGG
rnacentral:rRNA from 1 species